UUACGGUCAUAUCACAUUGAAACGCCGGUGCUUGUUCGAUCAACGAAGUUAAGCAACUUCGAGCCUAUUCAAUACUUGAUGGUUGACCGCUUGGGAAUACCAAGUGCUGUAAG